UACGUAGGGUGCAAGCGUUGUCCGGAAUUAUUGGGCGUAAAGAGCUCGUAGGCGGUUUGUCACGUCUGCUGUGAAAACUCGGGGCUUAACUCCGGGCCUGCAGUGGGUACGGGCAGACUAGAGUGCGGUAGGGGAGACUGGAAUUCCUGGUGUAGCGGUGAAAUGCGCAGAUAUCAGGAGGAACACCGGUGGCGAAGGCGGGUCUCUGGGCCGAUUCUGACACUGAGGAGCGAAAGCGUGGGGAGCGAACAGG
rnacentral:rRNA from 1 species